CCUGCCCAGUGACAUUGUUCAACGGCCGCGGUAUCCUAACCGUGCGAAGGUAGCGUAAUCACUUGUUCUUUAAAUGAGGACUAGUAUGAAUGGCACCACGAGGGUUAUACUGUCUCCUUUCUCUAAUCAGUGAAACUAAUCCCCCCGUGAAGAAGCGAGGAUAAAUUUAUAAGACGAGAAGACCCUAUGGAGCUUUAAACUAAAUAACAAUUGCUACUUUAUAAUACCUAUUUUCAGAAAAUUUAACUCUUAUACUAGCAUUAUGAUUAUUAGUUUUAGGUUGGGGUGACCGCGGAGUAAAAAACAACCUCCACACUGAAAGGACUAACUUCCUAAACUUAGAGCUACAUCUCCAAGUAUCAAAAAAUUGACACUAAUUGACCCAAUUUAUUGAUCAACGAACCAAGUUACCCUAGGGAUAACAGCGCAAUCUACUUCAAGAGCCCCUAUCGACAAGUAGGUUUACGACCUCGAUGUUGGAUCAGGGUAUCCCAG
rnacentral:rRNA from 1 species